rnacentral:sRNA from 1 species
UCGUGGUCCAUUUUUUUGUAGUGGAAAAUCAAUUUGUCGCUUUGUUGAUGAUGUCACUUUAGGAAUUGAAAUCAUUUUUUAAAGCUGAAAGAACUGGUAUAGAAUCUUAUUUGAAGUUUCCCAUGAACUUCCUUGACUCAUCCUUUGAAAAAAUCUAAAUGGAUAUCUCUCCUCCUUCGAAACUAGUACAUUUCCCUAAGCUUACAAAGUACCCAUCGACUGCUCUCUCUGUUAAUGCGUUUUAAUUUAAUUUUGCAUGCCCAACCGCACCGAACACAACACAAAUGGCCGAAUACUCGAAAUAAAAAGCCAGCACCGAACAAUGUUGCACUCCACCCUCCGGAACACAUUCCGUUUUGAAAGUCCCCAGAUAUAAAGAGGUGUUCCAAAUGGGUGGGUGGCGAUUCUGGUUGGAAACUGCAGCUAAAGUGGCACUGGGAGUCAAUAAGAAUGCGAUGUGGAUGACGAUAGCUGUCAGGGGCAUAACAAGCUGGACACGACACAUUGCACAUGGACAUGAGACAGGACCUGAAAUGAACUGAGCCGAGGAGUGGAGUGGCUCUGGAAGUGGGCUGGGGAUCCAACUGUUAUCAGCGGCAAGCACACACUCACAAUUUGAAUUUAGAAUUCCACAGUAAAAUGUUAUAAAGAUGGAUCUAAGAUUGAUUUAAGGCAACUCCUCUUAACUCCCCCAAAUCCUAACUACUUCUUUGAGAAGCAACUGUACUCUAGUCUCAAGUGCAUUUCCACUGCACUCAUCUGUCAGUCCUCAAGCCCAAUGUACAAGUAGCCAUAACUUGCAAAUAUAAUGACAAAGCAAUUAAAUAUUACGGCAAUCCUGGAUGGCCAGAUCGGUCUACGUCCUCCGAAAACGUCCUUCAUCCCCGCAGUCAAACAGAAAACAAUCAAAAACGGUGUCGAGUCUUCGCUUUACAUUCCUGGGGCAGGGGUAAUAGCUUUCAAACAAUAAAUGUCCGCAAAACCAUUGACAUGGCUAGCUGAAAUGUGGGGGUGGCCAGCAGAGGGUGGAAGGAGGCAGCGAGCAGAGUGGCCAAGUCAUUAUAGAAGAGGAAGUCGGCGAAACCUGGACUGCAAAGCAAUUCAUCUAAUUUGCAUGAGCCUUGAUGGGGUUCCCAUAUGUGCACUUAGAAAAAAGCUCCAGAAAA